GUCACUGUGUAAUUACAUGUUUGCUCUGGUAAAGAUCUGAUGAUACAUGAUAUACUGUAAAACGCUACGCUGUCACGUUAUGAAGGGAAUAAGUCACAGGGAUACAUUUCCACAAACAUGUCAGUCUGUAGAAAAAACUGUUAAAUGAAAAAUGACAGCGAACUCCUCGGGCGAUAGAAGCAAUGGAGGACCCAAAUUAACAUAAGCAUCAUUCCAGUUGUCAAGUCUGCUCUCGGCCCUAUUGGUAUUUUUAAGUCAGGAUGAACCUGAGGAAUGGAAAAACCAUUAAAACAAACAAUGAUUCUGUUUUUCUCUGGCAGAGAGCUGGUGUUCGGUGGGGAGAGAGAAGAAAAAGAGAAGAAAGAAAAAAAGAGGGGGAAAGAAAUCAACCGCGGCUGCUUUUCUGGCAGCGGCGUGAGAUGCAGUGGUGGGGAGCCGAGAGCUGCGUCUUGUGCCAGCACAUCCACAUGUCAUCUCUGUUUAGACACACCUUGGAGAAUGUGACCUCUUUCCAAGCCUGGCCUGGCAAGGGGUCUACGGUGGAGGGAGCGUGGAGACGAACCCUGGAAACGAAAGUGACUCGCCGACAUCGCCGGUUAGUCACCGACCAGGACCGAGGAAAAGGCCGGAGGAGAGGAGGAGGAGGAAGCGGCCCGGCGAGCGCACCUGCACCUGCCCCCCUGUGACAGAACUCACCGAUGCCAUCGCACUCGACCACAGCAACCGACGCAUUGUGCUGUGAUGAAGACGUCUCCAUGGUCAGUGAAAUGAACACACUGCUGCAGCCUGGUCUGUGGCGUCAUUGUGAGGCAGUUCAUAUUCAGAGGUGGGGUUAGGUUUGUAAACCUUUCAUCUAUUACCUCCCAUUGUGUCUAACACAGAAUGAUACUGUAACUGUCUCGGGGGGGUCGAGUGACACCUAGAUGGUGGAAUCCCCCACGGAUAUCAGGGGAAGUGGGUCAUCGACAUGUUGAGCAACCCCAUGAGCAUCGGCAAAAGAAAGUCUCCGCAGACUCACAGUGUUUGUC
rnacentral:lncRNA from 1 species